UAGAGAUACGAGGAUACAUGGGGUGUAAGACUUAGGGGGAAAGCGUUGUCCUGAUUUACGCGUGUUAAAAGUCGGGAAGGCGGGCGUACGAGUCGCGUGUGAAAGCCCCCGGAUCAACUGGGUAGGGGCACGCGAGACUGUUCGACGCGAAGGCAGGAGAGGGAAGCGGAAUGCUCUGUGUAGUGGGGAAAUGCGUAGAUAUCGGGAGGAACACCAGUGGCGAAGGCGGCUUCCUGGCCUGUUCUUGACGCUGAGGCGCGAAAGCUAGGGUAGCAAACGGGAUUAGAUACCCUGGGAGUC
rnacentral:rRNA from 1 species